GAUGAACGCUAGCUACAGGCUUAACACAUGCAAGUCGAGGGGAAACGAUAUUGGAAGCUUGCUUCCGAUAGGCGUCGACCGGCGCACGGGUGAGUAACGCGUAUCCAACCUGCCCACCACUUGGGGAUAACCUUGCGAAAGUAAGACUAAUACCCAAUGACGUCCAUAGAAGACAUCUGAAAUGGAUUAAAGAUUUAUCGGUGAUGGAUGGGGAUGCGUCUGAUUAGCUUGUUGGCGGGGUAACGGCCCACCAAGGCGACGAUCAGUAGGGGUUCUGAGAGGAAGGUCCCCCACAUUGGAACUGAGACACGGUUCAAACUCCUACGGGAGGCAGCAGUGAGGAAUAUUGGUCAAUGGGCGAGAGCCUGAACCAGCCAAGUAGCGUGCAGGAUGACGGCCCUAUGGGUUGUAAACUGCUUUUAUAAGGGAAUAAAGUGAGCCUCGUGAGGCUUUUUGCAUGUACCUUAUGAAUAAGGACCGGCUAAUUCCGUGCCAGCAGCCGCCGUAA
rnacentral:rRNA from 1 species